UACGUAGGAGACUAGCGUUGUCCGGAAUUACUGGGUGUAAAGCGCGUGUAGGCGGCAUACCAAGUCUGUUGUGAAAUCGCCCGGCUCAACUGGGCGGGUCAAUGGAAACUGGUAAGCUGGAGGACGGUAGAGGCGAGUGGAAUUCCCGGUGUAGUGGUGAAAUGCGUAGAGAUCGGGAGGAACACCUGUGGCGAAGGCGGCCCCUGGGCUAACACUGACGCUCAUGCACGAAAGCGUGGGAGCAAACAGG
rnacentral:rRNA from 1 species